rnacentral:ncRNA from 1 species
AUGUCCUGCUCGUGAUCGUCUUCUCACCUUUCACCGGGCAGGUGCACAACGAAGGGGCUCCCGCAAGCACUCCUGGCGGGGGCCCUUU